GGUGAGAGUCGAUGAUGAUGAAUUUCUGCAGAAGGAACGAAGAAAACGUGAGCUUUGUUUUCUUCUGCGGAAAUUCGUCAUCAGCGACUCUCACCAA
rnacentral:pre_miRNA from 1 species